AUCCAAUUUCGAUAGAUACAAAUAAAGAAUAUCCUAGAAAGAGACCUGCAAUACCACCGAACGAUACAAGUAAAUCUAAAUAACCAAAUCGUACUUCUCUCUUGUAGAGAGCUGUUGGCCAUUUUCUCAACAUAACUCGAUUCGUAUUUUUAGCAGAAUUUUGUAUUUGCGUUACGCUAUACGACGCAUGGUCGCAAGAUAGCCAACAGCUACAUUGAGUUAUAUCGAUCUUAACGUUAUUGAAACAGGAAUACUUUGAAAGUGGACAUUCUGUUUUACCAUCGAACGAUAGAAACCAUGGUCGCGUGGAAUCCACAAAAUAUGGAACACCAUGCAACGUGUUUUCCAAAAGAUAUUCUCUUGAUCGGAAUUUCAAACUGGAAUGUAAUUCCUUGCAUGAAGGAUUGUACUUGUAUUUCAUUUUAAACUAGUCCUGGUACCGUAUACUUCUGCAGACAUAUUACUACUAAUAUCAAAUAAGCUGAACAACAAGAUCAAAUCGACCGUUUUUUGAAUCGCAUGUUCACUUUAGAUCUAUAUUAUGCACAUUAUGCACGUAACACGAUUAAUUUAUCAGCUUGAUCAAGUAAAAGGGAACAAAAUAGGAUUAUAGAUUAAUGUGUUACAAGGCAAAGCAAUAACGCUAUUUAAAUAUUCCUUUAUAAUAAAGCGUACCACUUUUAGCUGAUCAGUGUUGUUC
rnacentral:misc_RNA from 1 species